GGGUGCGUAGCUCAGCGGGAGAGCGCUUCCUUCACACGGAAGAGGUCACAGGUUCGAUCCCUGUCGCACCCA
rfam:Kosmotoga olearia TBF 19.5.1, complete genome.